rfam:Vibrio genomosp. F10 strain 9CSC122 9CSC122_contig_674, whole genome shotgun sequence.
GGAGGAACCUCUGGAGAGAACCGUACUACUUUGUUGUAGAAAGCGGUCGCCGAAGGAGCAAGCUUUGUGUAUGCAAGGUGAAACUCUCAGGCAAAAGGACAGAGGAGUGGAA